AGCUCUGCUGUGGGGCAGCCACAGCACCCAGCUCAGUGAGGACCCGGCCAGCGGUGGCUCAGUCCCUCCAGGUUUCCUGUGUGCAAGGCUUGUGUUGUAACUGGUUAGAUGGUUGUGAAGUGAGGGAAGGAGAGGGGUUCAAAAUGCAUUAAAGAACCCAGAGAAGACUCCUCCUGCUGGCUGCACUCGACAGACAAGGCGUGCCACAGCAUUCCUUCAUUGUUCCGAACUGGGACCCAGGCUUGAGGUGUGCUCAGAGCUGAUGAAAGCAACUGAAAACUACAGUUCCACUUCAGGUUUUGCAGUGAGAAAUGGUAUCAAAUACAGCCUGGAAAGGAUCUGACACUGUUUGAUGAUCCAGUAUCUCCAGGAGUUCCAAACUGGCACUACUUCAGGCAAGUAUAUCAGGGGCCGGUGGUCUUGUUAAUGCAUUUAGGACUUGUCUGAAGCUUCAGUGAGCUU